rnacentral:lncRNA from 1 species
AACGCACAUUACAACGAACGAUUCUUGAAAUGAAAAUCAUGGCAAAAUUAGCAUAUAUUUCAAGAAUGGCCAAGAGAGUUUAAGCAUGUUAUUCAUGUUAUUCGGGUAACAAUGAACUAAGAGUGGGGAUAAACAUAGAGCCUCGACUAGAUUGUCGAGAACUAGAAUGCUAGCAAGAGUACUAAAGAUGUGUUUGGAAUAGCGGUGGGGGGAGAAAAAAAGCCCGUCUAGCUUAAAGCUGAGAUUUUCAGCUUCACAAAAUUCACGGUAACACUACAUUGGGAAGCGAGAAUCCUACUCCAAACGCCAAGCCAAACAUGCUAUAAGUAUGUUAAGACGUGAAGUGAUUAAUGUAGUCUCUUCACACGUGAACAAGAAUGAUCAAGUAAGUAUUUUACCGCUAAUCGAGUAGAUCACGGACCCGUGGUAAAUAAGCAAGCAUGUUUAGGUUAAACCUUUUUAUGUAUGUAUAAGAUCAAAACUUUAAGCAAGAUGUAGGUGUCGUGUCUCUUGCUAUCCACGCUAGGGGGAUACAAGAGGUUCACACCAGGGGAACGGGAUAAGCUCCGCAAGGGGGCUCUGCAUGCACGACACUGAGGGAGUCCGAUGUACCUUAGCUAGGAAUUCAUCGGUCAUGUAUGAGAUUGUACUCGGGGUUACUCCAUCCGAUACACUCCGUAAAAUGAACUCAGUUAAUACUGUUUGUUCAACGCAGUCCGAUGUACCUUAGCUAGGAAUUCAUCGGUCAUGUAUGAGAUUGUACUCGGGGUUACUCCAUCCGAUACACUCCGUAAAAUGAACUCAGUUAAUACUGUUUGUUCAACGCAGUCCGAUGUACCUUAGCUAGGAAUUCAUCGGUCAUGUAUGAGAUAACCUCUAACAUAAUGAAUGACCAUGAUAUGAUAUGAUUACGAUUAUGAUAAGUUGUGUUAUGACAAUAAUAUGUACAAGCUCUUGUAGUAGAACAAGACUAUGAAGAUACACUAUCGACGGUCUUAGUAACUCCUCGAUCGUCCAGUUUAGGAACAUGUCAUGAAUAAGUUACGUUUAGAUCUUGAUGUGUUUAGCGUAUCUCGACAAAGCAGUCCUAGGUUCCCUUGACCGCCAUGACAUGUAGAAUGCAAGACAAGCCUUAUGACUUAUGAUACAAAGAACCUUAUGACGGCUCUAGUGUGCACGACCGUCAGGGUAAACAAGCUCCACACACGUAUAAUCAACCAUCACGUUGUAUUGUAGACACGUGGUGACCCUAGGUUUUCCCCGAGGUUACCUAUAGCCUAGGAUUAGGUAGAACUCACUAAGACAUUGUGUCUCAUCCCAAUCCUUAUUUGUUUCAGAUCAGCAGGUUGAUAUGGCAGGAUUUAGCAAGCUUGUAGCCAAAUGGAUAUUCAGCAAGUGCUCGUUCGUACCCGCUGCUGGAUGAUAUGGACUUUAAAGAUGUAUCUUUCUAUGUUUUGGACGAGUAGUAUUGUAUUGAUGACUGUACGACCGCGUAUUGUUGUAUAUAAUAUUCA